AGUGAACGCUGGCGGCGUGCCUAAUACAUGCAAGUCGAACGAUGAAGCUUCUAGCUUGCUAGAGUGCUGAUUAGUGGCGCACGGGUGAGUAACGCAUAGGUCAUGUGCCUCUUAGUUUGGGAUAGCCAUUGGAAACGAUGAUUAAUACCAGAUACUCCCUACGGGGGAAAGAUUUAUCGCUAAGAGAUCAGCCUAUGUCCUAUCAGCUUGUUGGUAAGGUAAUGGCUUACCAAGGCUAUGACGGGUAUCCGGCCUGAGAGGGUGAACGGACACACUGGAACUGAGACACGGUCCAGACUCCUACGGGAGGCAGCAGUAGGGAAUAUUGCUCAAUGGGGGAAACCCUGAAGCAGCAACGCCGCGUGGAGGAUGAAGGUUUUAGGAUUGUAAACUCCUUUUGUUAGAGAAGAUAAUGACGGUAUCUAACGAAUAAGCACCGGCUAACUCCGUGCCAGCAGCCGCGGUAAUACGGAGGGUGCAAGCGUUACUCGGAAUCACUGGGCGUAAAGAGCGCGUAGGCGGGAUAGUCAGUCAGGUGUGAAAUCCUAUGGCUUAACCAUAGAACUGCAUUUGAAACUACUAUUCUAGAGUGUGGGAGAGGUAGGUGGAAUUCUUGGUGUAGGGGUAAAAUCCGUAGAGAUCAAGAGGAAUACUCAUUGCGAAGGCGACCUGCUGGAACAUUACUGACGCUGAUUGCGCGAAAGCGUGGGGAGCAAACAGGAUUAGAUACCCUGGUAGUCCACGCCCUAAACGAUGGAUGCUAGUUGUUGGAGGGCUUAGUCUCUCCAGUAAUGCAGCUAACGCAUUAAGCAUCCCGCCUGGGGAGUACGGUCGCAAGAUUAAAACUCAAAGGAAUAGACGGGGACCCGCACAAGCGGUGGAGCAUGUGGUUUAAUUCGAAGAUACACGAAGAACCUUACCUAGGCUUGACAUUGAGAGAAUCCGCUAGAAAUAGUGGAGUGUCUGGCUUGCCAGACCUUGAAAACAGGUGCUGCACGGCUGUCGUCAGCUCGUGUCGUGAGAUGUUGGGUUAAGUCCCGCAACGAGCGCAACCCCCUUUCUUAGUUGCUAACAGGUUAUGCUGAGAACUCUAAGGAUACUGCCUCCGUAAGGAGGAGGAAGGUGGGGACGACGUCAAGUCAUCAUGGCCCUUACGCCUAGGGCUACACACGUGCUACAAUGGGGUGUACAAAGAGAAGCAAUACUGCGAAGUGGAGCCAAUCUUCAAAACAUCUCUCAGUUCGGAUUGUAGGCUGCAACUCGCCUGCAUGAAGCUGGAAUCGCUAGUAAUCGCAAAUCAGCCAUGUUGCGGUGAAUACGUUCCCGGGUCUUGUACUCACCGCCCGUCACACCAUGGGAGUUGUGUUUGCCUUAAGUCAGGAUGCUAAAUUAGCUACUGCCCACGGCACACACAGCGACUGGGGUG
rnacentral:rRNA from 1 species